GAUGAACGCUGGCGGCGUGCCUAAUACAUGCAAGUCGAGCGAACGGAUGAGAAGCUUGCUUCUCUGAUGUUAGCGGCGGACGGGUGAGUAACACGUGGAUAACCUACCUAUAAGACUGGGAUAACUUCGGGAAACCGGAGCUAAUACCGGAUAAUAUUUUGAACCGCAUGGUUCAAAAGUGAAAGACGGUCUUGCUGUCACUUAUAGAUGGAUCCGCGCUGCAUUAGCUAGUUGGUAAGGUAACGGCUUACCAAGGCAACGAUGCAUAGCCGACCUGAGAGGGUGAUCGGCCACACUGGAACUGAGACACGGUCCAGACUCCUACGGGAGGCAGCAGUAGGGAAUCUUCCGCAAUGGGCGAAAGCCUGACGGAGCAACGCCGCGUGAGUGAUGAAGGUCUUCGGAUCGUAAAACUCUGUUAUUAGGGAAGAACAUAUGUGUAAGUAACUGUGCACAUCUUGACGGGACCUAAUCAGAAAGCCACGGCUAACUACGU
rnacentral:rRNA from 1 species